rnacentral:rRNA from 1 species
CUACGGGCGGCAGCAGAGGGGAAUAUUGGACAAUGGGGGAAACCCUGAUCCAGCAAUGCCGCGUGUGUGAAGAAGGCCUGCGGGUUGUAAAGCACUUUCGGUUGGGAGGACUGCUUCUAGCACUAAUAUUGUUGGAAGUUGACGUUACCUUCAGAAGAAGCACCGGCUAACUCCGUGCCAGCAGCCGCGGUAAUACGGAGGGUGCAAGCGUUAAUCGGAAUUACUGGGCGUAAAGCGCGCGUAGGCGGCUAGAUCAGUCGGGUGUGAAAGCCCCGGGCUUAACCUGGGAACUGCAUCCGAUACUGUGUAGCUUGAGUACAGGAGAGGAGAGUGGAAUUCCACAUGUAGCGGUGAAAUGCGUAGAUAUGUGGAAGAACACCAAUGGCGAAGGCAGCUCUCUGGCCUGAUACUGACGCUGAGGUGCGAAAGCGCGGGGAGCAAACAGGAUUAGAUACCCUAGUAGUC